rnacentral:antisense_RNA from 1 species
CUUUAUGGCGGGCCGUGCGGGCAGUCUUCGGACUGGCCGGUUUUCCUUUUGUCCGGUAAUUGUGGACCCGUACAGCCCGUCUCCCUA